GAAGAAGAAGCCCAAGAUCAUGCAGCAGCAUCUUGAUUAUUGUUUCCCUGGUUUAUGGCUAUCCAAGAUAACUCCUCGAUCCUACAAAGCCAAUGAAUAAGAUAACUCAGAGACUCUUUGACGAGAUGACUAAUCAAAAUGACAUGUGUUCUUAUAGUCCGUAUACAUUGUGAAGGUUGUA